CAGAAAUUGUUGUAGUAUCAUAGAAAAAGAAUCCAGGUUUUGUUAAUCUCCAGACUUCAACUUAGAACUUGCAUUAGUAUUACACAAAAAGUGUCCAGAUAGAUAUCUUGGCAAAUGAGGUUGAGGUCAAGGUCAUGAAGAGCAGAGUCAUUCAUUAUUUGGGCGAUGGUGAUAGGCGCAGGGAUAAGGAUGAGGUUGAGGUUGUGA